CGCUCGCGGCAGGCUUACACAUGCAAGUCGAGCGGGCCUUUCGGGGUAGCGGCGGACGGGUGAGUAACGCGUGGGAACGUGCCCUCUGGUUCGGAAUAACUCAGGGAAACUUGAGCUAAUACCGGAUACGCCCUUUUGGGGAAAGGCUUGCUGCCGGAGGAUCGGCCCGCGUCUGAUUAGCUAGUUGGUGAGGUAACGGCUCACCAAGGCGACGAUCAGUAGCUGGUCUGAGAGGAUGAUCAGCCACACUGGGACUGAGACACGGCCCAGACUCCUACGGGAGGCAGCAGUGGGGAAUAUUGGACAAUGGGCGCAAGCCUGAUCCAGCCAUGCCGCGUGAGUGAUGAAGGCCUUAGGGUUGUAAAGCUCUUUUAUCCGGGACGAUAAUGACGGUACCGGAGGAAUAAGCCCCGGCUAACUUCGUGCCAGCAGCCGCGGUAAUA
rnacentral:rRNA from 1 species